CCAAAACCAGUGCUUCCAUUAUGAUUAAAAUACAUUAAAUAUUUUUUAUGUUUAUAUAUUGAUAUCAUAAUUCAGUCUGCCAAAGAGAAGGCUGUUGAAGAAGAGUGAAGGAAACAGAGGGAGAAGGAUCAUGAGAGAAGACUAUACAAUCUCCCUUCCAUCAAUAUUAUUUAUGGAGAAAAAAAGGGUUGAGGAAUCUUGCUCACAAUCAGUUCCAGCAAGGAUUGAAUGUUAAGUUCAUGAAGAUUUCUGCCUUCUCUUCAUUGUAUCUGCAGAACAACCAGUUUACAGGCACUAUUGAUGUCCUUGCUAAUCUGCCUCGUUGUGAUAUCAUUGGUUUGUGAGAGAUGAGUUUGGAUAAUAAAAUUGGAGUGUUGGAGCAAGAAACAAAGAUGUUGGAGCAAGUCUCCGGGAUGAAACUCAUACAAGAGACCAAGAAACUAAGGCAGGGUUGUUAAAGGAGGAAACUUUUGGUCUUCAAAUCUUAUUCAUCAUCACUUAGCUAAGCUACUUGUCUUGUAUGUUCAUAUUCUAAGUAGUAAAAACAACACUUAUUAGAUGGUUUAAAUACAUUAUUAGAUAUUAAUAUAGUUUAGGAAAUUGGAUGGUAGAUUUGACUGAUUAGUGUUUAUUGCAAUGCUUAUAUUUUGGUAAGUUUAGUAAGACAAGAUUUUGUAUAAGAGUUAUUACUUUUGAUUUUC